UACGUAGGGUGCGAGCGUUGUCCGGAAUUACUGGGCGUAAAGAGCUCGUAGGUGGUUUGUCGCGUUGUUCGUGAAAACUCACAACUCAAUUGUGGGCGUGCGGGCGAUACGGGCAGACUGGAGUACUGCAGGGGAGACUGGAAUUCCUGGUGUAGCGGUGAAAUGCGCAGAUAUCAGGAGGAACACCGGUGGCGAAAGCGGCUCUCUGGGACGGUACUGACGCUGAGACGCGAAAGCGUGGGGAGCAAACAGG
rnacentral:rRNA from 1 species